CAACUGCCCUGAGGCCACCAGGCUGGAGAGACCAUGUAUGGAUAGGUUCUCUGAUCAACAGUUUCUAUCAAGCCCAGCCUUCUAGCCAUCAAGCCCAGCCUUCUAGCCAUGUCCACCAAUGUGCCUGACAUGUGAGUGAAGCCAUCACAGACCCUUCAGACCAGCCCACCUGCCAGCUGAAUACUUGUCCUUGGAACAGGAGAAAGGGUUGGAAAACAAAGAUCACUUUUCUCUGGCCAAAUGGAAUCACCCAACAAAGUACCUUCCUGAUGGGCCAGCUAUUUCAGAUGAUGAAGGUUUAAGAAGCAGCAUCAUCAGCGAACUGUGUUUUGAAGAUUUGAGGGAAGGGCUGACCUCAGGAUUUUAUACUAGGUAUUUGAUGCAAUGCAGACUGGAAUCCUCCCCACAAGGAUGCCCUGGCCUGAGUGGCACAGAGAUCAAUGCAGCAGUCAUUUCCUGGGCGGGGAAAGCCCAUCCACAGUGGCCCUGGAAUGAUGCUGGUCUUACCUUCUAUUCCUAGGAAGGCCCUAUCUCAAGUGGCUCUGGUCCAUGCAAACAGAUGGAAACGGGUGUGGGGAAGCACAGGCCUCCUACUCAUGUUAAGAGAGCUGCUCAGAGGCAGGAAUCCAGAACCAGGAAUGUCCCCAGUGGCUGCCCAAGGUACAAGUGGCAGGCAGCGGGGAGAAUGGCAUGUGAAGUCAUUUGUAACCUGGCCCCAGCUUGGUUUCCAAGUCUCAGAGGAGAUUAUGGAUAUGGUAGUGCCUGGCUCAGUGCUUAAAAUCCAUUCUCCUGCUAUUUCCCUCACCUACACUCAGCCCCACAAGCCGAGAUGUUUGCUGGACAUUUCAGGCACUGCCACCCAGUUCUGUCUACCUUACCUGCUAACACCUGUUGACCAUCCUUCAUGUGAAGGCUUCCCCAAAUACUUCCCAAUCAAAACACUAAAAGGCAGACCUGAAAUUAAUAAAAAUGUUAAUUAAAUCUGUACAACAGAAA
rnacentral:lncRNA from 1 species